GCCUGGGUGGCUCAGUUGGUUGAGCGUCUGACUUUGGUUCAGGUCAUGAUCUCAUGACUCGUGGGUUCGGACCCUGCAUCUGGCU
rnacentral:tRNA from 1 species